rnacentral:rRNA from 1 species
GGUUACCUUGUUACGACUUCACCCCAGUCGCUGAUCCUACCGUGCCCCGCCUGCCCCCCGAAGGUUAGCGCAGCGUCCUCGGGUAGAACCUACUCCCAUGGUGUGACGGGCGGUGUGUACAAGGCCCGGGAACGUAUUCACCGCGUCAUGCUGUUACGCGAUUACUAGCGAUUCCGACUUCAUGGGGUCGAGUUGCAGACCCCAAUCCCAACUGAGACAGUUU